UAUAUUUGCUUUCUCUUUCUUACACUGGAUAUGAGUAAAUUAAUGGUGAGAGAAUUUAAAUUAUUUAUUUCUUCUAAGAAUCAAGCUUCCAGUUUUUAUUAUGAACAUUUGUUUGUAUCCUUGAUGUGCUUUAAUUGAUUUAAAGGAACUUAGUAUCCUAAAAUCGAUUAAAAUUCCGAUUUUCGAAUGUGAUGCUUAAAAUUAUAUCUGGCACUAUAAUUCUCUGAAAAUUUCAAAAGGAUCGGACUAAUAUUUUGAGGAUAUUUGAAUACGAGAUCAUUUUCACAGAAUUGAUAUCGAAGACACGCCCUCUUCAUUAUUAUUUUACUAAUUUUCGCAUUUGCCCUCGUCACAAUGGUCGUCCUUGUUGCAUCAGAGGAAAUCCAAGGAGAAGGUUUCCAAGGCCACUUUGAUCAACACGGCUACAAAGUGUCCAUUGAACAUCAACCUCAUGGCCAUGAACAUCACCAAAAUGGUGGACACGGACAUAGCGAACGUUAUUUCCACUUUCAGCACCAUAGUCACCAUCAUCACGGGCAUCAUGAAUAUGAAUAAACUAACUCUUAAGAGCUAAUAACAGUUGAAAGCUACGAAUGUGAAGAUUGUCCAGGGCAAUAGUAGAAUUACAUCUUACAACAUUGCAGAUACAGAAAAAAUCAGAACUGGAUUUUGUGUGCAUUUUAUUAGUUAUUGUUUGCCGUAGAAAUGAA